GGCGAGAUGGCCGAGCGGUCUAAGGCGCCAGACUAAGGAGCAUAUGCUACGAUAUCUGGUCCGAAAGGGCGUGGGUUCGAAUCCCACUCUCGUCA
rnacentral:tRNA from 1 species